AGUGAACGCUGGCGGUAGGCCUAACACAUGCAAGUCGAACGGCAGCACAGUAAGAGCUUGCUCUUACGGGUGGCGAGUGGCGGACGGGUGAGGAAUACAUCGGAAUCUACUUUUUCGUGGGGGAUAACGUAGGGAAACUUACGCUAAUACCGCAUACGACCUACGGGUGAAAGCAGGGGAUCUUCGGACCUUGCGCGAUUGAAUGAGCCGAUGUCGGAUUAGCUAGUUGGCGGGGUAAAGGCCCACCAAGGCGACGAUCCGUAGCUGGUCUGAGAGGAUGAUCAGCCACACUGGAACUGAGACACGGUCCAGACUCCUACGGGAGGCAGCAGUGGGGAAUAUUGGACAAAGGGCGCAAGCCUGAUCCAGCCAUACCGCGUGGGUGAAGAAGGCCUUCGGGUUGUAAAGCUCUUUUGUUGGGAAGGAAAAGCAGCAGGUUAAUACCCCGCUGUUCUGACGGUACCCAAAGAAUAAGCACCGGCUAACUUCGUG
rnacentral:rRNA from 1 species